AAAUAAUUUAUUAAAUUUAAAAAUAGUUAAAUAAAUUAAAAAAUUGUUUAAUAAAUUAAAAAUAACCUUGUUUAUUUCCCACUUCUUCUUCCACUCGUGGAUCUGCUUCCCAUAGUUGUCCAUAAUUUUAUGGACGAAGUGGUGAUAGAUAAAGAGCGUAUCAUCGGAAUUCCAGUUGAAUUCUUGCUGGAAAAAAAACACAAUUAGUAGAAAAUUUAUAUUAAAGAUUAAAAAUAUAAGUAAAAAAUUAGAAUACUUACC